rnacentral:rRNA from 1 species
UACGUAGGGCGCAAGCGUUGUCCGGAAUCAUUGGGCGUAAAGCGCGCGUAGGUGGCUUCGUAAGUCCGUUGUGAAAGUCAAAGGCUCAACCUUUGAAAGCCGAUGGAUACUGCGGAGCUAGAGUACGGAAGAGGCGAGUGGAAUUCCUGGUGUAGCGGUGGAAUGCGCAGAUAUCAGGAGGAACACCAAUAGCGAAGGCAGCUCGCUGGGACGUUACUGACACUGAGGCGCGAAAGCGUGGGGAGCGAAGCAGG